ensembl:lncRNA
CAUCUGGUCCACGAAGUCGUCACCAAGCUUUGCACUCUGGGAUUUGUGGUUUGUAGCAGAUCCAGUAGGACAUGAAGACCAAGAAAUGCACCAACAAAUCCCAUAAUGCAUGCGGCACCUCUGCAGCUAGCGCUCACACGAAAUGCAGCCGCGCGCCUGUUGCUCAGUCUUUAGCUGGAUCGCCGCUGAACGUGAACUACCUCGUGUGUCUACCGGGCAGAUGGAUGUGUCUACCGUGCAGAGAGAUGUGUCUACCGUGCAGAGAGAUGUGCAGCCUUCGUGGUGCUCAAGCCGUCCUGAUGGCUCAGUCGUUGUGGACUUUUAACUCAGUGUCUUGAACCGAUCACUCCGAUCACCUCUCCGUGGCCUGACGUGCGCAUCCCAUCCGUCGAAAUGAAGGAGGGCCCACGGAGACCGAAGGGCUGUGAUUGGUCCAACCCACGGGGACCGAAGGGCUGUGAUUGGUCCAACCCACGGGGACCGAAGGGCUGUGAUUGGUCCAACCCACGGGGACCGAAGGGCUGUGAUUGGUCCAACCCACGGAGACCGAAGGGCUGUGAUUGGUCCAACCCACGGAGACCGAAGGGCUGUGAUUGGUCCAACCCAUGCUGUUUACCUUGUAGAUGGUUCAGUCGUUGUGGACCUUUACCAGUGUCUUGAAAAAACCAUAUUGUUGCAUGGAGCAAAGCUGAUUGGCCAGUUGGAACAGGAAGUUGGGAAACACUAGUUUAAAUAUGUCUCUCUGUUUGUAAUGUGUAAUACAUUUGUAAUUAAAUGCCCACACACACACACACACACUAGUUUAAAUCUGUCUCUCUGUUUGUAAUGUGUAAUACAUUCUGUAAUUAAAUGCCCACACACACACACACUAGUUUAAAUCUGUCUCUCUGUUUGUAAUGUGUAAUACAUUCUGUAAUUAAAUGCCCACACACACACACACUAGUUUAAAUCUGUCUCUCUGUUUGUAAUGUGUAAUACAUUCUGUAAUUAAAUGUAAUACAUCUCUAAAUGAUCAAAAUGGGUAGUUUGGCUUUGAGAAUGAAUGUAGACCCUAACCCCCCUAAGUACUGUUGAAUGCCCACACACACACACUGUUGAAUGCCCAACCCCACACACACACAGGUUCCUGAGAAGUGCAAGUUAUACACACACACACACCUGAGAGAGGUGCAGGUCUCACACACACACACACACCUGAGAGAGGUGCAGGUUACACACACACACACACAGGCAGGUUCCUGAGAGAGGUGCAGGUUAUACACACACACACACAGAGGCAGGUUACACACACCUGAGAGAGGUGCAGGUUACACACACACACACACACACAGAGGCAGGUUACACACACACACCUGAGAGGUGCAGGUUACACACACACACACAGGCAGGUUCCUGAGAGAGGUGCAGGUUAUACACACACACACAGAGGCAGGUUACACACACCUGAGAGAGGUGCAGGUUACACACACACACACAGAUCAGAUCAGAUGCUAACUGUGCAUUUGACACCUUCCAAUCUGGUUUUCGUUCCAAUCAUAGCACAAACGGCAUUAGUCAAGGUUGUAAAUGAUCUCCGGAUUAAUGCUGACUCCAAAAAAAACAUCUGUCUUGGCCCUUCUGGAUCUGAGCGCAGCUUUUGAUACUGUUGAUCACGAUAUCCUUAUUGAUAGACUUGAAAAUUGGGUUGGCCUCACUGGUCCGGUAGCCUAUCCAACUGGCCGGGAAUACUUUGUUGCCCUCGGAGACCACAGCUCAAAAAACAUUUGUAUGACCUGUGGGGUCCCUCAAGGAUCCAUUUUAGGGCCCUUACUUUUCAGUCUAUACAUGCUACCCCUUAGUCGAUGUUGUGCCUCCUAAUUACACUACCAUCAUAGCUAUGCAGAUGACACCCAGCUCUAUAUUUCUGUAACACCCAACAACUGCAGCUCUGUUGAUUGUUUGGUAAAUUGCAUUUCUGAUAUAAAUGUAUGGAUGUCACAAAACUUCUCCAGCUAAACAAGAUUAAAACAGGUAUUAGUCAUUGGUGAAAAAACGAAAGAGAGAAACUAUCUGCACACUUAAAAACACUAGCACUUAACACCAAGCACCAAGCCAGAAACCUA